UACGUAGGGGGCGAGCGUUGUCCGGAUUUAUUGGGCGUAAAGAGCUCGUAGGUGGCCAACUAAGUCAGACGUGAAAUCCCUCGGCUUAACCGGGGAACUGCGUCUGAUACUGGAUGGCUUGAGAUUGGGAGAGGGAUGCGGAAUUCCAGGUGUAGCGGUGAAAUGCGUAGAUAUCUGGAGGAACACCGGUGGCGAAGGCGGCAUCCUGGACCAACACUGACACUGAGGCGCGAAAGCGUGGGGAGCAAACAGG
rnacentral:rRNA from 1 species